rnacentral:rRNA from 1 species
AUUGAACGCUGGCGGCAGGCCUAACACAUGCAAGUCGAACGAGUGGCGGACGGGUGAGUAAUGUAUGGGAAACUGCCUGAUGGAGGGGGAUAACUACUGGAAACGAAAGCUAAUACCGCCUACCAUCAGCUGUGCCCAGAUGGGAUUAGCUUGUUGGUGGGGUAAAGGCUAACCAAGGCGACGAUCCCUAGCUGGUCUGAGAGGAUGACCAGCCACACUGGAACUGAGACACGGUCCAGACUCCUACGGGAGGCAGCAGUGGGGAAUAGUGCACAAUGGGCGCAAGCCUGAUGCAGCCAUGCCGCGUGUAUGAAGAAGGUCUUCGGGUUGUAAAGUACUUUCAGCUGGGAGGCGUUACCCACAGAAGAAGCACCGGCUAACUCCGUGCCAGCAGCCGCGGUAAUUC